rnacentral:rRNA from 1 species
GAUGAACGCUGGCGGCGUGCCUAAUACAUGCAAGUCGAGCGAACAGACGAGGAGCUUGCUCCUCUGACGUUAGCGGCGGACGGGUGAGUAACACGUGGAUAACCUACCUAUAAGACUGGGAUAACUUCGUGAAACCGGAGCUAAUACCGGAUAACAUGUUGAACCGCAUGGUUCAACAGUGAAAGACGGUCUUGCUGUCACUUAUAGAUGGAUCCGCGCCGCAUUAUCUAGCUGGUAAGGUAACGGCUUACCAAGGCAACGAUGCGUAGCCGACCUGGGAGGGUGAUCGGCCACACUGGAACUGAGCAACGGUCCAGACUCUUACGGGAGGAAGCAGUAGGGAAUCUUCCGAAAUGGGCGAAAGCCUGACGGAGCAAGGCGGCGUGAGUGAAGAAGGUCUUGGGAUCGUAAAACUCUGUUAUUAGGGAAGAACAAAUGUGUAAGUAACUAUGCACGUCUUGACGGUACCUAAUCAGAAAGCCACGGCUAACUACGUG